AGUGAACGCUGGCGGCAGGCCUAACACAUGCAAGUCGAACGGCAGCACAGCAGUAGCAAUACUGUGGGUGGCGAGUGGCGGACGGGUGAGGAAUACAUGGGAAUCUACCCUGUCGUGGGGGAUAACGUAGGGAAACUUACGCUAAUACCGCAUACGACCGAGAGGUGAAAGCGGCGGACCGCAAGGCGUCGCGCGAUUGGAUGAGCCCAUGUCGGAUUAGCUAGUUGGCGGGGUAAAGGCCCACCAAGGCGACGAUCCGUAGCUGGUCUGAGAGGAUGAUCAGCCACACUGGAACUGAGACACGGUCCAGACGCCUACGGGAGGCAGCAGUGGGGAAUAUUGGACAAUGGGCGCAAGCCUGAUCCAGCCAUGCCGGGGGAGUGAAGAAGGCCUUCGGGUUGUGAAGCUCUUUUGUCCGGAAAGAAAAGCCUUCGGUUAAUACCCGGGGGUGAUGACGGUACCGGAAGAAUAAGCACCGGCUAACUUCGUGCCAGCCGCCGCCGUAA
rnacentral:rRNA from 1 species